AAAGGAAUUGACGGGGGCCCGCACAAGCGGUGGAGCAUGUGGUUUAAUUCGAUGCAACGCGAAGAACCUUACCUGCCCUUGACAUAUAGAGGAGUCUUUAGAGAUAGAGAUGUGCCGAGAGGAACUCUAAUACAGGUGCUGCAUGGCUGUCGUCAGCUCGUGUCGUGAGAUGUUGGGUUAAGUCCCGUAACGAGCGCAACCCUUAUACUUAGUUGCCAACAGGUGAUGCUGGGGACUCUAGGUAGACUGCCGGUGUUAAACCGGAGGAAGGCGGGGAUGAUGUCAAGUCAUCAUGGCCCUUACGGGCAGGGCUACACACGUGCUACAAUGGCUAGUACAGAGGGCGGCGAAGUCGUGAGAUGGAGCAAAUCCUUAAAAGCUAGUCGUAGUCCGGAUUGAAGUCUGCAACUCGACUUCAUGAAGUCGGAAUCGCUAGUAAUCGCAAAUCAGCAUGUUGCGGUGAAUACGUUCCCGGGCCUUGUACACACCGCCCGUCACACCAUGGGAGUGUAUUGCACCAGAAGCAGAUAGUCUAACCGUAAGGGGGACGUUUGCCACGGUGUGGUCCAUGACUGGGGUGAAGUCGUAACAAGGUAGCCGUAGGGGAACCUGCGGCUGGAUCACCUCCUUAAAA
rnacentral:rRNA from 1 species